rnacentral:rRNA from 1 species
UACGUAGGGGGCUAGCGUUGUCCGGAAUCAUUGGGCGUAAAGCGCGUGUAGGCGGUCCGGUAAGUCCGCUGUGAAAGUCGGGGGCUCAACCCUCGGAUGCCGGUGGAUACUGUCGGGCUUGAGUACGGAAGAGGCGAGUGGAAUUCCUGGUGUAGCGGUGAAAUGCGCAGAUAUUGGGAGGAACACCGGUGGCGAAGGCGGCUACCUGGACCGGCACUGACGCUGAGGCGCGAAAGCGUGGGGAGCGAACAGG